GAUGAACGCUGGCGGCGUGCCUAAUACAUGCAAGUCGAGCGAACAGACGAGGAGCUUGCUCCUCUGACGUUAGCGGCGGACGGGUGAGUAACACGUGGAUAACCUACCUAUAAGACUGGGAUAACUUCGGGAAACCGGAGCUAAUACCGGAUAACAUGUUGAACCGCAUGGUUCAACAGUGAAAGACGGUGUUGCUGUCACUACUAGAUGGAUCCGCGCCGCAUUAGCUAGUUGGUAAGGUAACGGCUUACCAAGGCAACGAUGCGUAGCCGACCUGAGAGGGUGAUCGGCCACACUGGAACGGAGACACGGUCCAGACUCCUACGGGAGGCAGCAGUAGGGAAUCUUACGCAAAGGGCGAAAGCCUGACGGAGCAACGCCGCGUGAGUGAAGAAGGUCUUCGGAUCGUAAAACUCUGUUAUUAGGGAAGAACAAAUGUGUAAGUAACUAUGCACGUCUUGACGGUACCUAAUCAGAAAGCCACGGCUAACUACGUG
rnacentral:rRNA from 1 species